CCUACGGGGGGCAGCAGUGGGGAAUAUUGGACAAUGGGGGGAACCCUGAUCCAGCCAUGCCGCGUGUGUGAAGAAGGCCCUCGGGUUGUAAAGCACUUUCAGUGAGGAAGAACGCCUGGUGGUGAAUACCCAUCAGGAAAGACAUCACUCACAGAAGAAGCACCGGCUAACUCCGUGCCAGCAGCCGCGGUAAUACGGAGGGUGCGAGCGUUAAUCGGAAUUACUGGGCGUAAAGCGCGCGUAGGUGGCUUGAUAAGCCGGUUGUGAAAGCCCCGGGCUCAACCUGGGAACGGCAUCCGGAACUGUCAAGCUAGAGUGCAGGAGAGGAAGGUAGAAUUCCCGGUGUAGCGGUGAAAUGCGUAGAGAUCGGGAGGAAUACCAGUGGCGAAGGCGGCCUUCUGGACUGACACUGACACUGAGGUGCGAAAGCGUGGGUAGCAAACAGGAUUAGAUACCCGGGUAGUC
rnacentral:rRNA from 1 species